CGCUUACUUUUCCCUCCAACUAACUAAAAAACGCUAGAUAAAUUGGGUCUCAAACCCAUCCACAUCCAGCCCAGCCGCCCACCGUUCGGCGGCUACCUCGCCGCACUCCAACGCAGCGGCCGCCACCUCCCCCCCCCAUCUCAACCCCCGUAGGAUGUACCGCUUCCUCGACCAGCAUCGGCGCCGCUUCCUCGAUCUGUCCCGGCGCCGUUUGGAUCGUUGCGGCGACGGCUUCGUCGGUCUUCAGCUCCGCCACCUACAUCCUGAAGGAGUACGAUCUCGUGGCUGGAUGGCGACGGACAUGUUGACCAUAUACCUGCACUAUGAAGAUACAAAUCAGGAAGCCAAAAUUUUACAAAGAUCCAUGAUGAGAGGUGAUGUCUUGUAUUACGACUUAAUCUUGAUGAUCGAAGAAGUUGGCUUUCAGGCAAUUGACUUUCUGUACUAUGCGAAAAAACCCCGUCUAGGCAGCUCCUACUUAGUUCACAUUUAUGAUGAAGGUGUUGUGAUGAAAAUGUUGUCUGACACUGAGAUUGUGAAAGCUGUCCAUCUGUAUGUGUCUAAGGAGAAGGCUGACGAUCAUAUUGCUCCGCCUAGCAAGAAAAUUGAUGUUGCUCCAUCUAACCAUCCAAAUGAGAGUGUUCUCUUACAGGACGGUGGUGUCUCUGCUGAAGGGGCAGGGCAACUUACUAUGCAAGGGCUGCAAAGUUACGGACCAACGUGAUGAUGAAGAUGGAGACUGCAACAAUGGUGAGCAAUUCCCACAAGGUCAUGAAUCACAAGCAUUGGUCGAUGAAGAGGGUCAAGUGCACAAUCAAGUAGACAAGGAAGUACGCAAGCGCAAGAGAACAAGCUUGCCAAUUGUCUGGAACAUGCCAAAGGGGCAGAGAAUAGUUGUGAAAUGCAAUGAAGAUAGCCAGCCUAUAGGAGAUGAAGGUGCAAUCUUGGGGAAGUUUCUGGGCACGGUUGCUAGAAAUGGAGGAUUUUACCCACUAAACAUAAAUGAUUGGCGUCAUGUCAAAAAGAAUAGUGGUGAGGAAACAAUAUUGCAGUGCGUACAGACAAAGUUCGUGUAUCCUCGAUCAUGUGAAAAAUGGAUACUCAAAUCAAUUGGAAGAGACUGGAGGAAAUUUAAGUCUAGUUUGAAAGAUGCUUUCUUCAAACCCGCCAUUGAAAAAAAUCCAAACAUCAAGCGAAAGGCUUUGUAUAAGCUCUGUCCAGAAGAUGUGGACAACGAUCAAUGGCGUGGGCUUGUUAAAUAUUGGAAGUCCAAAAAAGGAAGGGCCCUUGCUGAGAAGAACAUAAUUAGUCGUUCCCUCGUGAAGGAUUCACAUAAUGCUGGCACAAAGAGUUAUGCUUGUUGGGGUGAAGACAUGAGGCAAGCUGAUCCUGAAAAGAAACGACCACACAGAUCAAAGGUUUAUUUAGCAACUCACAAGAAGAAGGACGAUGCUGAUGCGAAAAAUAAAGAUAGAAAUAAGCGCCUGGAUCGAUUGGAGAAUCUAAUAACCGAACUACCAGAGUUGGCACAAAAUUUGAAUGGAAGAGUCGCAUGGGAAGGUGAUGCCCUACAGGAAGUGUUAGGGAAAGAAAAGAUUGGACAAGUGCAUGGCAUGGGUUUGCUUCCAACUCCUAAGCAAGUCUAUGGUCGGACGCCACGGUAUCUAAAACAUCAAUAUGGCUACAACAGAUGGAUCAUCAUAUGAAGUUGAACAUGACGUUUGGGAGGUAAUAGCAAAGAUGAAGGAGCAUAUAAAAAAGCAAGACCAGAUUAUUAAAGAUAUGAAUAACAAAGAAGGCUAUGUCAAUAAUGGCAUAGAAGAGGAAAACCUCUAAUCAAAUGAUAAUGGUAUUUCUCGGUCACCACUACUGCUUGGUAAAACAAAGUUUGCAGAGAAUCCAGUGCAAUGGACCCAUUGAGGCACUCUCGUCUAUGCAACAUGACAUUCCUGAGGAUAAUAAUUUAUCGCGUUCGCACGAAAAGGUUAUGCAUGUAGUUACUCUUACUCAAGUCACAAAGAUAGAAUAUAAAAUAAUUACUUGCUUACCAUUGUUGUGUCAUGGAACUAGGUUGGCGACCAUGAUGUCAACCAAUUACAAAUUCAACAAAAUUCAUCAUCACCACAAGACCUUGUUAUUGAUUCUGUGCUAGAGCUGAGGGAAACGAGGAAUAUUACGGGUGAAUCUGUUUCAAGACCGAACUAGCAAAGGACUAGAACUGAACACCCACACCGCUCAAAAAGAAGGCGUUCUUCUUCCAUCAAGGUUGCUUUCAAAGUAGUCUUAAAGACUUCAACAUAUCCCAACAAGCGGAAUGUUGCGUAUGGUACUAUUCGAAGUACUGAUCCAAGAACUAAGGCUGGUGGUAUUGAGUUAGGUGCUGAAUUUGCUCUUGUGCGCAUAGACGAACCUAUUCUUGAUAAUGAGGAGUUGGUAAGGGAAGUUUCUGAUUGCAAGACAAUUGGCGAGGCUUUCACUUCAGGAUACUUAAUUGCCUCGCCUUCAUCUUUUAUUCGAGAGAAGGAUGGUUGAUUUGCAGUUGAAUUCUUGGAUCAAGAAGCAAAUAAAAUUUAAAGAUUUUAGCUACCAAUAGUUGUAGUUUACAUUGAUAGAUUUAAAAGUGUAAUAUCAUCCAGAAGAUCUUUUUCUUUCAUCGAAUUGAUGCAAAUGCGACAGUGUAAUAUUCCCCAUAGUUGUGUUUUCUAUCCUCAAAAUUAUAUGGCUGAUAUCUUUAUUGUAAUGCAUAUGUAUCAUAUACUCUUCUAUGUUCAUAAUAAAUAUCUUCGUACGAAUUUCUGUA